rnacentral:miRNA from 1 species
GCUGGGCGAGGCUGGCA